UACGUAGGGGGCAAGCGUUGUCCGGAUUCAUUGGGCGUAAAGAGCGUGUAGGCGGCCAGGUAGGUCGGUUGUGAAAACUGGAGGCUCAACCUUCAGACGUCGACCGAAACCCCCUGGCUAGAGUCCGGGAGAGGAGAGUGGAAUUCCUGGUGUAGCGGUGAAAUGCGCAGAUAUCAGGAAGAACACCCGUGGCGAAAGCGGCUCUCUGGAACGGUACUGACGCUGAGACGCGAAAGCGUGGGGAGCGAACAGG
rnacentral:rRNA from 1 species